GGUAUAUGAAGUUUUUUGGAAAAUAAUAGGAAAAUAAAGACCAUUUGCCCAUACAAAUUUUGUCCCAUCGCCCUGGUGUUACGACAGGAACUCGAUGUCAACAUUUUAAACUUGGUUUAAAUCUAUUAGAGAAACUAGAUACGGAAUAAAAUAGCUCAUUGCAUUUGCUCA